UAGAUACAGCAUAUGGUUUUUAUCCUUCAUUCUGUUGGUAUGUAUCAUGUUGAUUGAUUUGUGCAUGUUUAAUCAUCCUUGCAUCCCAGGGAUAUAUCCCACUUGUUCAUGAUGGAUGAUAUUUCUAAUAUAUUGUUUAAUUUUGUUUGCUAGCACUUUGUGGAGGAUUUCUGCAUCAAUAUUCAUCAAUGUUAUUUUCUUGUAGAUUUCUUUUAUUCAUGAGGGUUUGUCUGGUUUUAGUAUCAGGGUAAUACUGGCCCCAUAGGAUGAGUUUGGAACUAUUCCCUCCUCCUCUAUUUUUUGGAAUAGUUUGAAUUGUGUUAGUAUUAAAUCUUUUUUAAGUGUUUGGUAGAAUUUAACACUAAAGCCAUCAGAGUUUUAAAAACAUUAGAGAGGCUGAGGCAGG